AGCAUAGAAUCCACUCAGCACCUCCUUUGCCACAGCCUCCCAUCCCCAACAUCACAAGAACCUUGAGUUGUGAUUGACUGGCAGAAGCCUUAGCAGGUCCUCAUUGAAUUCCCCGAGGGCCUAAUUUGGGUCAGGGUCUGAUCGAACGUUGCUCUUCCAUGGACAUCCCUCAACCAUAGGAUCACCGCCAUGAACUCCCCAUUGUGAUCGCAACAGAGUCACCCACCUGUGAGACCGAUUCGUUUAAGGAUACGAUGAUGAGACACCCAUGGUGUUUGCUCUUGAAAAGCUUGACCCUGGCACUGGUCUGGACAUCCAUAGGAACAAGUAACGAUAAUCCCCAUCAGCCUCUCAACCUAACCUGGCAAGUGAUUAAUGGAGAAGGAGAGGUCGUGUGGAGUACCUCAAAGGUCACAUACCCUGAAACCUGGUGGCCUAGCCUUUAUCCUGAUCUUUGUAAAUUGGCUAUAGGUGCCCCUGCUAAUUGGGACCUUGAGGGGUAUUCAAACUUUCAAAGGGCUCCAUCGUCACCCUCUCCUCUCAGCAGGCAUGGCCUUGAUCCUUGGGGCGGAUGUGGCACUAAAGAUAGAAGGAGCAUGUUAAGAGUACUUACCUUCUAUGUGUGCCCCGGUUAUCACCGCGACCUAUCUUUAAACCCAAGGUGUGGGGGUAAAAACGAAUUUUUCUGCAAAAGUUGGGGGUGUGAAACAACAGGCGACACCUACUGGCAUCCCUCCUCCUCCUGGGACUUAAUCACAGUCGCUGCCAAUUAUACACAUCAUAAAACAGGAAGUCAAGGAAACCCAGGUUGGACUAACAUUCCAGACUGUUCAGAUUGGUGUCACCCGCUUCAUAUCCAAUUUACAGACGAAGGAAAAAAGAAUAGUAGAUGGACCAAUGGCCAUUCUUGGGGUCUAAGACUUUACAAGGAACGCUUUGAUGAUGGCCUACUAUUUACCAUAAAGCUUCUGAUGCAGCCCCCUGGAGUUGAUGAGCUGGUGGUUCCUAUUGGACCAAACCAUGUCUUGAAUCCCUUGUCUCCACAAAAACAGCCCUUUAAUCCUGCUCCUACUGUUUACUCCACUGUUCCCUUUCCUCCUGAUGAUAUUUAAACCUGAUAUGUGGGGCAGUGGGCUGUGAGAGGCAGCUGGGUACCUAGUCAAGCUUGCUUGGAACCCUGGAGACCCUAAAGGUAGGUGUUCAUCCUUGCUCCCGGGCUCUGGUUUCUUUCACAUAGC